rnacentral:rRNA from 1 species
CUACUGAGGGUGCAAACGUUAAUCGGAAUUACUGGGCGUAAAGCGCGCGUAGGCGGUAAGUUAAGUUGGAUGUGAAAUCCCUGGGCUCAACCUAGGAACUGCAUUCAAAACUGGCUCACUAGAGUAUGGUAGAGGUAAGUGGAAUUCCAGGUGUAGCGGUGAAAUGCGUAGACAUCUGGAGGAACAUCAGUGGCGAAGGCGACUUACUGGGCCAAUACUGACGCUGAGGUGCGAAAGCAUGGGUAGCAAACGGGAUUAGAAACCCCAGUAGUCC